GAGGGUGCAGCUCAGUGGUAGAGCACGUGCCUAGCAUGCAUGAGGUCCUGGGUUCGAUCCCAGUAUCUCCA
rnacentral:tRNA from 1 species